rfam:Pteropus alecto contig48448, whole genome shotgun sequence.
GUCUAUCGCCAUGCCACCCUUAACAAGCCGGAUGUCUGAUCUCGGAAGCUAAGCAGGGUCGGGCCUGGUUAGUACUUGGAUGGGAGACCACCUAGGAAGACCAGAUGCCGUAGACA